UCGUGGAAUCAUGCUCGAAAGAAAACCCCAAAACCCCAAGAAAACAAACUCCUCCAUAGAAAAAAUAGAGGCAUGUUACAACCUAUAGCAGGCUCAAUCCUUAAAACCCUAAUUUCCACUUAUCACCAUUGGGAAACAACACCCUGCUACGGGUGGCCAUAGCAUGUGCUACAGGCCAUAGUAGGGCAUGUAGAGGGAGAACUUAAAUUUAAAAAAAAAAAUCAAAUUCAAGUCUUUCUUGGGACACCUCCAACUAAACCAAUCAUCACCCAUUAACUUUCUUUAAAUACACCAAAUCUAAUUUUCUAAACCAUCAUUCAUUCUCUUUCCAAAUCUCUUAUCUUCUCUAUAUUCCCC
rnacentral:lncRNA from 1 species